rnacentral:rRNA from 1 species
AGUGAACGCUGGCGGUAGGCCUAACACAUGCAAGUCGAACGGCAGCACAGUAAGAGCUUGCUCUUACGGGUGGCGAGUGGCGGACGGGUGAGGAAUACAUCGGAAUCUACUUUUUCGUGGGGGAUAACGUAGGGAAACUUACGCUAAUACCGCAUACGACCUACGGGUGAAAGCAGGGGAUCUUCGGACCUUGCGCGAUUGAAUGAGCCGAUGUCGGAUUAGCUAGUUGGCGGGGUAAAGGCCCACCAAGGCGACGAUCCGUAGCUGGUCUGAGAGGAUGAUCAGCCACACUGGAACUGAGACACGGUCCAGACUCCUACGGGAGGCAGCAGUGGGGAAUAUUGGACAAUGGGCGCAAGCCUGAUCCAGCCAUACCGCGUAGGUGAAGGAGGCCUUCGGGUUGUAAAGCCCUUUUGUUGGGAAAGAAAAGCAGCAGGUUAAUACCCCGCUGUUCUGACGGUACCCAAAGAAUAAGCACCGGCUAACUUCGUG